AGCAGGGGCUGGCAGUGCAGCGCGGAGCGGGCGGCGGAGCGGCGGGAUGGGGCAGUGCCGGGCCGCGGGGCUGGCCGCAGUGCUCCUGGCAUUGGCUGCGUGCAGAGCCCAGGUGCAGCAGGAGCCUUCGGUAGAGACUAGAGAGGGCACCGGCAUCAACGUCACCUGCUCACACCCCAGCAUACAAGCCAAUUACAUCCACUGGUAUCGACAGCUCCCGGGCCGAGCCCACGCAUUCCUCGUCAGCGCUGUUACAGGCUCCAAGGAAGUUCCGGAUCCGAUGGGGCGGCUGUCGGUGUCGGCAGACCGCCGCUCCAGCGCCCUGUGGCUCGCCCGGCCCCGGCUCGGGGACGCGGCGGUGUAUUACUGCGCCGUGGACCCACGGGAAGCUAAGCUGGGGCUGCGGCCCGGCACGAACCGCAUUGGGCGUGGCGGGGGCACAGUGCCGUCUUGUGCCCGCAGGGGGCGAUGCAGCACCUCCGGCUGGGACCUCCCGAGCUGACAUUGCUGACAUUGCUGACAUUGCUGACAUGGAACAUGUCCCUCGCACUGCUCGGCAUCCUCCGGAGUAAGGCCUUCGAGCUGCACACCUUCA